rnacentral:lncRNA from 1 species
GCGGCCGGUACUGCAGGGCACGAACGGUGGGCGGCGGUUCCGGGCUGGGCCCGCCCGUGUGGGACGGCGGUACCGGGAGCGCCUGGGCCCGGAGCUGCCCUGCCCGGGACCUGCAGUCUCCGGGCCCCGUGAGAUGAUGGAGCAGCCGAACGGAUGUGGAGACCGCAGCCGCGCUGAAGGUCACUGGGAAGCAUGGGACAAGACCUGAACGAUAACUUCUUACAAGACCUGAAUGAUAACUUCUUGCAAGGUGCAGCGGGGAGAGAAGCAGCAAGUUGUGCUGGAACAGUUUCUGGAGAAAUGCGACACAAAAGGUUAAAUCUGUGCCUGAGCUGAGAGAGGAUGGAAUCUGCUGGGACGGCUUAGCCUGGAAGAGAGCUGUCAUGGAGAUGGUCCAGACUCUGGUUUUCCUGCAGUCUGCUGGUUUACACGAGACCCCAAAGUGUUUCCUUAAAGCACUUCAAAGGAAUUUCAGCUGAUGGGUCAGAAGUUGCUGUUGGCUGCCAUCACAAAGACACACAGAGGACAUUUGAAGUUUUCCCUGUUGUGUGCCUAGUGAGCCAACAGGGAGCAGGUGUUCCCUGUGGAGCUGUGGGGUUUUCAGCCUGGCCAGUGCCUCUGUACCAGCAGCAGGGCUGCACCUGGAAGCCAGAGCCAGUGCAUGGCCAGAGGAGCUCGACAGGCAGACAGGUCCUGACUUCUUUACACAGGUGUGUGUUUACUCUGUCUAGCCCUAACCUCUGCUCUGGUAUGCAUUAAAUAUUGCUUGUUUAUCCAAGGUGAUAAGCACUGCUGUUGACAAAAGCCUUGGG